rnacentral:ncRNA from 1 species
AUUGACUUGCCGCCGGGUAAGUAAGAAGCAGCGCAGAUCCAUUUCGUUAGGCCUUUGAAGAUUUGGAUACCGGCGCUUUUAUUA